UUAAGCUAAGAAGAGCGUAGGGAGAAUGCCUUGGCAUUAGGAGCCGACGAAGGACGUGAUAAGCUGCGAUAAGCUGCGGGGAUCAGCAAGUAUGAAUUGAUCCGCAGAUUUCCGAAUGGAGCAAUCCGUAUGUGUAUGCACAUACAUCAUAUACUGAAUCAAAUAGGUAUAUGAGGGGAACCGCCUGAACUGAAACAUCUAAGUAGGGCGAGGAAGAGAAAUCAACCGAGAUUCUGUGAGUAGUGGCGAGCGAAAGCGGAAGAGGCUAAACCAUAGGUAGCAAUACUUAUGGGGUUUCGGACAGCAUUUAGCAUUGAUAAUUUCUAGUUGAAACGUGUGGGAAAACGUACCGAAGAGUGUGAGAGUCACGUAAGCGAAAGAGAGAAUCAGCGAGCUGUAUCCAAAGUACCGCGGGACACGUGAAACCCCGUGGGAAGAUGGGGGGACCAUCCUCCAAGCCUAAAUACUACCUAAUGACCGAUAGCGAAUAGUACUGUGAAGGAACGGUGAAAAGAACCCCGGGAGGGGAGUGAAAAAGAACCUGAAACCCUAUGCUUACAAGCACCGAGAGCACGUCAAAGUGUGAUCGGGUACCUUUUGUAGAAUGGUCCGGCGAGUUAUUGUAUGCGGCAAGGUUAAGUGCUUAAGGCACGGAGCCGAAGCGAGAGCAAGUCUGAACAGGGCGAGUAAGUCGUAUGCAAUAGACCCGAAACCGAGUGACCUAUCCAUGUCCAGGCUGAAGUGGAGGUAAAACUCCAUGGAGGGCCGAACACACGUCCGUUGAAAAGGCCGGUGAUGAGGUGUGGAUAGCGGAGAAAUUCCAAUCGAACUCGGAUAUAGCUGGUUCUCUCCGAAAUAGCUUUAGGGCUAGCCUCGUGAAAGAUUACUGGAGGUAAAGCACUGAAUGGGCUAGGGGUCGAAAGAUUACUGAACCCUAUCAAACUAAGAAUGCCAGAUAAUUGAUUCACGGGAGUCAGACAAUGUGAGAUAAGUCUCAUUGUCAAAAGGGAAACAGCCCAGACCCACAGCUAAGGUCCCUAAACAUUGUUAAGUGGAAAAGGAUGUGGGGUUGCAUAAACAACCAGGAUGUUGGCUUAGAAGCAGCCACUCAUUAAAAGAGUGCGUAAUAGCUCACUGGUCGAGUGACCCUGCGCCGAAAAUUCAACGGGGCUAAACAAUGUACCGAAGCUUGGGAUUCUAAAGUAAUUUAGAGUGGUAGGAGAGCGUCGAAUAAGGGGUGAAGUCAGAGCGGAAGCGCUGGUGGACUUUAUUCGAGUGAGAAUGCCGGAAUGAGUAGCGAGAAUUAUGUGAGAAUCAUAAUGGCCGAAAAUCUAAGGUUUCCUGAGGAAGGUUCGUCCGCUCAGGGUAAGCCGGGGGCUAAGGCGAGGCGGAGACGCGUAGCCGAUGCACAUACGGUUGAAAUUCCGUAGCCACCGAAAGAUUUAAGUACAGGGACGCUUUAGAAGUGAUGUAGCCGGGCGAUGGUUGACCCGGUCGUAAGGGAUCGAAAAUGAGUAGAGAAGUCAUCAUGGAAAGAGACAAGAAAAGCUGUAUGAAUAUCUUAGGUGCCCGUACCGCAAACCGACACAGGUAGAUAGGAAGAAGAUUCUAAGGCCAACGGGAGAAGGGUUGUUAAGGAACUCGGCAAGUUGACCCCGUAACUUCGGAAUAAGGGGUGCUCAUGAAAGUGAGCCGCAGAGAAUAGGCCCAGGCGACUGUUUAGCAAAAACACAGGUCUCUGCUAAAUCGAAAGAUGACGUAUAGGGGCUGACACCUGCCCGGUGCCGGAAGGUUAAGAGGAGAUGUGAGAGCAUUGAAUUGAAGCCCCGGUAAACGGCGGCCGUAACUAUAACGGUCCUAAGGUAGCGAAAUUCCUUGUCAGGUAAG
rnacentral:rRNA from 1 species